rnacentral:rRNA from 1 species
CCUACGUGUGGCAGCAGUGGGGGAUAUUGCACAAUGGGGGAAACCCUGAUGCAGCGACGCCGCGUGGGUGCAGAAGCGCCUCGGCGCGUAAAGCCCUGUCAGCAGGGAAGAAAAUGACGGUACCUGUAGAAGAAGCCCCGGCUAACUACGUGCCAGCAGCCGCGGUAAUCCGUAGGGGGCAAGCGUUAUCCGGAUUUACUGGGUGUAAAGGGGGCGCAGGCGGCGAUGCAGGCCAGGAGUGAAAGCCCGGGGCCCAACCCCGGGACUGCUCUUGGAAAUGCGUGGCUAGAGUGCAGGAGGGGCAUGCGGAAUUCCUGGUGUAGCGGUGAAAUGCGUAGAUAUCAGGAGGAACACCGGUGGCGAAGGCGGCCUGCUGGACUGCAACUGACGUUGAGGCCCGAAAGCGUGGGGAGCAAACAGGAUUAGAUACCCUUGUAGUC